rnacentral:rRNA from 1 species
GACGAACGCUGGCGGCGUGCUUAACACAUGCCAGUCGAACGCUGAAGCUCAGCUUUCGUUGGGUGGAUGAGUGGCGAACGGGUGAGUAACACGUGAGUAACCUGCCUCCUUCUUUGGGAUAACGCCCGGCAACCGGUGCUACUCCUGGAUAUUCACUGGUCUUCGCAUGGGGGCUGGUGGAAAGGGGUUUUCUGGUGGGGGAUGGGCUCGCGGCCUAUCAGCUUGUUGGUGGGGUGAUGGCCUACCAAGGCUUUGACGGGUAGCAGGGAUGGGAGGGUAACCGGGAACAUUGGGACAGACCAAAGGCCAAGACUCAGACGGGAGGGGGAAGUGUGGAGGAUUGGACAAAGCGUGAAAGCGUGAUGCAGCGACGGCGAAGGAGGGAUGGGGACCUUAGGGUUGUUAACCUCUUUCGGAAAGGGUCUAACCGAAACAAUGGUUGUGGUGAGGGUAGUGGGUGAAGAAGCGCCGGCUAACUACGUG